rnacentral:rRNA from 1 species
ACGUAGGGUCCGAGCGUUGUCCGGAAUUAUUGGGCGUAAAGGGCUCGUAGGCGGUUUGUCGCGUCGGGAGUGAAAACACCGGGCUUAACUCGGUGCUUGCUUUCGAUACGGGCAGACUAGAGGUAUUCAGGGGAGAACGGAAUUCCUGGUGUAGCGGUGAAAUGCGCAGAUACCAGGAGGAACACCGGUGGCGAAGGCGGUUCUCUGGGAAUAUCCUGACGCUGAGGAGCGAAAGUGUGGGGAGCGAACAGGA